rnacentral:lncRNA from 1 species
AUGGAGGAAAUGUGUGAUCAGAGACAUCGAAAUGGAAGAAAGACGGUGAUAACUCGGCAGUAGAGGAAAUGGAAAAAAAGACGCUAGUGAUAACUUGGAAAUGAACGGCCAAAACACGAGAGUACAGUUUGACAUGCAGGCACGCGAAAAAGUAGGAAAGGCAAUAAUUUCUUUGUAGCCAACGACGACUGUGCUUGGAAAUGUACAGUCCAUGCAUAUGGGCACGUAUUCGCGUGUCAGAUGUAGCUAGGGUAAAUAAAAGUCAAACGAAAUUUGAGAACUGAUGGAACAAAAGCACAAGUGCAGGAGCAGAGAGAACUAAC